UACGUAGGUGGCAAGCGUUUGUCCGGAUUUAUUGGGUUUAAAGGGUGCGUAGGCGGCUUUGUAAGUCAGUGGUGAAAUAUGGCAGCUCAACUGUCAGGGUGCCAUUGAUACUGCAGAGCUUUGAGUACAGAUGAGGUAGGCGGAAUUACGGUGUAGCGGUGAAAUGCUUUAGAUAUCGUCAAGAACACCGAUACGAAAGGCAGCUUCUGGGCUGUA
rnacentral:rRNA from 1 species